GAUGAACGCUGGCGGCGUGCCUAAUACAUGCAAGUCGAGCGAACGGACGAGAAGCUUGCUUCUCUGAUGUUAGCGGCGGACGGGUGAGUAACACGUGGAUAACCUACCUAUAAGACUGGGAUAACUUCGGGAAACCGGAGCUAAUACCGGAUGAUAUUUUGAACCGCAUGGUUCAAAAGUGAAAGACGGUCUUGCUGUCACUUAUAGAUGGAUCCGCGCUGCAUUAGCUAGUUGGUAAGGUAACGGCUUAACAAGGCAACGAUGCAUAGCCGACCUGAGAGGGUGGUCGGCCACACUGGAACUGAGACACGGUCCAGACUCCUACGGGAGGCAGCAGUAGGGAAUCUUCCGCAAUGGGCGAAAGCCUAACGGAGCAACGCCGCGUGAGUGAUGAAGGUCUUCGGAUCGUAAAACUCUGUUAUUAGGGAAGAACAUAUGUGUAAGUAACUGUGCACAUCUUGACGGUACCUAAUCAGAAAGCCACGGCUAACUACGUG
rnacentral:rRNA from 1 species